GAACGCACCUUGCGCUCCUUGGUAUUCCGAGGAGCAUGCCUGUUUGAGUGUCAUUAAAUUCUCAACCUCACCAACUUUGUUGUGUGUAGGCUUGGAUGUGGGGGUUGCAGGUCCACAAUCGUGGUCUGCUCCUCUGAAAUGUAUUAGUGGGUUAGGCCCCUAAUCUAUUGGUGUGAUAAUUAUCUACGCCGUGGAUUAGAUGACCAUUAUAGACCUGCUUCUAACCGUCCUUCACAGGACAACACUUGACAAUUUUGACCUCAAAUCAGGUAAGACUACCCGCUGAACUUAAG
rnacentral:misc_RNA from 1 species